rnacentral:rRNA from 1 species
GACGAACGCUGGCGGCGCGCUUAACACAUGCAAGUCGAACGGAAAGGCCUGCUUUCCCUUGUGGAUUGCGGGUACUCGAGUGGCGAACGGGUGAGUAACACGUGAGUGAUCUGCCCCCAACUUGGGUAUAAGCCUGGGAAACUGGGUCUAAUUCCCGAUAGGACUGCAGGGUGGUGCCUGUGGUGGAAAACGAUUUUCUAGUGGUUGGGGAUGAGCUCGCGGCCUAUCAGCUUGUUGGUGGGGUAAUGGCCUACCAAGGCGGCGACGGGUGGCCGGCCUGGGAGGGUGGACGGCCACAUUGGGACUGAGAUACGGCCCAGACUCCUACGGGAGGCAGCAGUGGGGAAUAUUGCACAAUGGGCGGAAGCCUGAUGCAGCGACGCCGCGUGGGGGAUGACGGCCUUCGGGUUGUAAACUCCUUUCGACCGCGAGGAAGCCACCUGGUUGGAAGGGUGGUGACGGUAGUGGUAGAAGAAGCACCGGCUAACUACGUG